rnacentral:tRNA from 1 species
GUCCUCAUAGCUCAGUUGGCUAGAGCGUUGGCUGUACUAAAGCCUUCCCCUUGCUGGUGUGGGUUAAAAUCCCACCGAUGCCG